AAUGCCUGUAGAGAACCAUGAACAUUGUAGUGGUGGGAGUGCUUUACGAAUUGAUGUUCAAGCAACAUGUUGGCUGUUGGCCUGUCUGCAGGAUUCCUCCGAAAGCAACACCGCAGAAAGUCCUUGCCCUCAUUGGACAAUGAAUCAGGUAUUGGUGGGUCUCUAUGCAAGACUUUGAACAUAGCUGCAGCCUGUGAUCAACAUAAACAGAUAGCAAUAAAAUGCAGACCCCGAUGAAGUGAAGAAAAAGAAAAAGUGCAUCAUAAAUCAGUCAUCUAAAAUUGCAUGGUUUAAUAUGUAUUAUUAUAUUAAAAACCCUUUAUAACAAGAAAUUAGGCUUCUUUAUAGUUAAUAAUAUAUGCAAAAUUAUUCUAGUCCACUUAAAAACAAUCAAUGCUUCUUGUUGAUGUCGACGGCAGAAAUAAGGUUUUUUUGGCUACCUGAGUUUACCUGGUCCGCUUAAACCAGUCUUGAAUCUCGAAUACCCAUGAAUCACAUAUGGGAGUAGGCAUUUGAGUCAGGUUCAAGUCCUGAUACCUAGAUGGUAGGGUUCGGGAUAUGGUAAGAUGAGAUUCUCAAAUAUCCUAUCCACUGUCAUUCCUGAUAUUAACUAGAGAAGGAAGGAUACCCAGAUCUACCAACUCACUUCAACUGAUUUGGGUAAUAAGCAGGACCCUAGAUACAUUUUAAAUUCAAGUACCUUUUUAGUUGGUCGGAUUUUAUACCUGAUGCACUGUACUCAUUUUUUGUUAGCACCACUUCAACCAAGAGACAAAUGAUUGUUUGAAGGUGGAAUUUCUAGGCAAUUAAUUGAAUAGACAGGUGUCCCUUAUAACAUUUUCUAUUCAUCCUGCCAUAUUUUAUCAUCAAAUGCCAAUGACUGCAACCCAAAUUGACUCAUCGCUAUCCAUAGCAACCAUAAAGAAACUCAAAAUAUCUAUGAUUUCAAUUGCUGAACAACACGAUCUCAAGAAAUUUGUUUGUGGCAGUUAUUUGCAAUCUGAUAUCAACUUGCAAGACAGUCUCAAAAGACUACAGCAAAUAACAGUCUGUGUAAAAUAAUCCUGGGUCAUUGCUAUAAUAAUACAUACUAAAUCAAAAGUAUGAGGGUCUUGCCAAGGCUCUUGCCAGUGAGAGUCUAGGGAGAAUCAAUCUAUAGAGCUUUACCCUGCACACACACAGACUGUUUCCAUGACUCAAAUCCUAGCUGCCCAAGUUGUAAACAAACAACAGUUACCAUAACACCAAGGCCCUCUAUAAAAUAAUAAUUUGAAAAGAAUUUCAGAGCACCUAUGUUGGAAGCAAACUGAGUCUAAAAAUUUCAUUGUGCAAUCAUAUGACCAGGUGAUAAUAUCUUAUUUUGAGUGCUGGAGGAACAUCAAUGCAUUUUUCAUGUAAUACUAUAGAGUAAAAUUUAUGGAUGGAAGGCUUAGGGACACUAAAUUCAUGGUCAGAAACAGAAAAAAAGUGUGAGUUCUGAUUUCCAAGUCUAGUGAGAUAAGCCCUACCAUAUGAGAAGUUAUUUACAGAACAUCAGAUAGGGGCAUCAGGGAUAUUGUCAUUUAGCAAAACUCCAUGAGCAUCUAAAACGUCGCUUUAAUUUUGGAGAAGCUUGAUAUUAAUAAGUCAACAGGCUUAGCUCAAGUAUUUUGGACCGCUUGACAAACAUCCCCAUCAGGAAUUACUAAUUUAGCAGACAACCUAAAAUUGAAUAUUGACCUCAUUUUUGAAUAAAAGUGUGCACAUCUUAUGUCAGGGAUCUCUAAAAAAGGAUACAACAACUUUCUUUUGUCAAGUAACCUGGAUAUUUUUCCCAUUAACUGUUUAUCUAAUUGUACUGAUUAAAAUAUUUGGCAAAAUAUUAUGAUACUUAUGAUUUCUUAUUUUCUAUCUUUAUAUAUGAUAAUUACUAAUCUCUGUGCACCAAAGAAAGUCUGGAAUAAGACACGCUCAAGCCAGCAAUAAUCCAUUUGCAAACACAAAUAACACUCAAAGCCCAGAUUUGCUAAAAGCCAAUCAACCCCAGUUAAGAAAACAAGUCAGCAUCACCAAUAUGAUUUCCUAUGGUAAGAUUAAACUGUUGUAUACAUUGGCCCUCUUAGACCCCACGUUGACUAUCCUUUUUUUGUGUUUUAAUGUAUGAUCAGUAAAACUUCAUGGGUCUUUUUAUACAGUAGGUUUCUACUCAUCCAUCGUCCGAACUUAGCUAAACAAGAAAAUGACAGCAAUUCAUUCUUUAACCAGUAUUAUCUGUUGUAAACCAUUAAAAAACAUGUUUCUGUACAUAUAGGCUGUAUAUUCUAAUUAGUCUGAAUAAGUUAGUGAAGCUAUUAAAUCUAUAGAAAUAAGUCAAUAACAAGCUUAAAUUGGAGCAUCUGUUACUUGCAAAUGACAGCACAAGACAUCCUAACUACAUAUAGCAAUUCAUAAACAACUUCACUAAAAAAAACACUAACGCCUUCUAAACCACUCCAAGGAUGUUUUCCUGUGAGCAUCUCAAUGAUGGUACAACCCAAGCUCCAAAUGUCAACAGCAAAAUCAUAACCAAUAUCCUUGUUCAUUGUAGCCUGCACUACCUGUAAGAGGAUGUUCAAAAAUUGCAAAGUUAAAAUUGAUUAAGCAUAACACAGUAGGGUCAGAACUCCAAAAUUAAAUGCAUCGAUUAUGCUCCAGUUGAAAGAUGUGUCUAAAGACUUGAUUUUGUCUCUAAUGAAGCUUUAUGCAUAAUGCAUGCAUCAAUUUUUUUGAAGAAGAGAUUCAUGAUGCUUCUGAACUACACUCUUUGGAAGAAAGAGUUAGUAUAUCCUCUUGAUUAAAUACUUUUACCUACUCAGAAGAGGAAGAAGUAUUUAUAAAAAAAGAUGUUUCAAGUACAAGAGACUGCAAUCUCACAUGCCAAUGCAACAUGGUAAAGCAGGUUCCUGAAAUGGGACUAGAAGGAAAUAGAAAAGGGAAUUGGUGCACUUUCUUGCGGGAGGUGGUCUCAUGGGAAAAUAAGGCAUUGGAGAAAACAACAAACGGCUGCAAUAAUUAGCACACAUGCGAGUACAUCAGGAAACCAUUCUUCCAGGAAAAUUUCAUGAACUAUUAAGAAAUUGAGAGAAUAUUGUGAAUACCAGUCAAAAAUACAUAUAAAUGGUCACUUCCACCAGGAUUUCUUCACUGAUGGAAUACUAAGUAACUAUAAAAACACAUGACAACAUAGGCACUACAGACAUCAAGCCAUGUAAUUAGUUACAAAAGGGUGCAUAAGAAAAACAGGGCAACCACUAACCAGAAACCUAUGAAGUGGUAAGCUUGACCAUAGAAGAAAUAUCAAGGUCACAUAAAACUGCAAGUGAAAGGUGAUAACCAUGGUUAACUUAAUCAAAUAAUAUACUCUUUAAAACCAGUAAACCCAUAAUAUGGCCGUAUCCAUAUAGUAAACAUAGGCAAGGCAAGGCUUUGCAGGCUUUCAUGUUAGUUCUGUAUUGCAUGUUUCCAUAGAAAACCUUCUCAUCUAACAUAUAGUUUCUUUAAAAACUCAAUUUCAUAGAAACAUUCCAACUAGAAGAUAAUCAGAUGAGAUCCCAUAUACAUAGUCACAGAAAUUUCUUCAUGGGCUUGACUUCCUAUAUCCUCUACAGGAAGUGCAAACAUGAACUCAACCAUCCAUAUUUCCAACUGAAUUUUCUUAGACACAUCAAUACUCCUCAUUGAUCCACAUAUCUAAUGCCAAUACAACAUAAAUACUCCCACUUGUUUUAUUCAUAGCUAUAACUGUCAUCAGUUUAAUUCAGAAAAGGAUUUAACCAUAAGAACCCAACCAUACUCAUAUUUCCUCCUGAUUUUUUUUAUACACAUCUAUAUUCUUCAUUGAUCCACAUUUUACAUACCAGCAUCACAUAUAUACUCAUAUUUGUUUAGUUCAUGAUUAUAACUAUUAUCAUCCAAUUUUCCUCCUUUUGUUUCUUUCUGAACAUAUUUGAUCUCUGCAUUGGAACAUCCAGUAGGGGAGUGUGAUUCAGAUCUCUGAGGAUUGUGAUCAAGACUGGUGCUUGAUGGAGACUUCAUGACCAAUAUACCCACAUUUGUUUAAUUCAUGAUUAUAACUAUUAUCAUCCAAUUUUCCUCUUUUUGUUCUUUCUAAAUAUAUCUGAUCUCUGCAUUGGGACAUCACCAACAGUUCAAUUAAAAUUCUUGACAUUUUAGCUACAAACUUUUCAAUUGGAAGUAGCCGCAAACUUAUGCUAGAAGAAAACAAAGUAGGAAAUUUUUAAUCAAAUUGGCUGUAACAAGCCAAUAGUUAUAUGUCUUGGUUAACUCCAUGAAAAGAAAGCUUGAUGUGAAUAAAAGGUACUGAGGCUAUAGCAACAGCAAACCUCUAGAAAGAUUUUUUUUUAUAACUUCAUAAUUUUCUAUUGGACCCCAUUGUGAUUAGACAUAACAAAUGGAACUAUGAUCCCAGAGCAUUAUUCACUAUAGUAAUUCAAGACAAACCUAGCAAAAAUUAAAUUUGGCUAAUUUCAAGUGAAAUGGACUUGUACAUCACUUAUUUUUAUUAGUCAGCACAUAGGCUUUCUAACAAAAUUCCAUGUCUUCCUUUGUCUUGACUAUGAAAACUGCACUACAAUGGUUAGAGUUAAGACCACUAGAUUACUAUAGGAUGUGCUUCCUUGAAGUAUCCCAGAUGGUAAUUGUGCAAAAUCCCUUCUCCCUUUAUUUUGCCUGGCUUUGGUCAAGUCACAUAACUCACAAACUCAAAUGUCCAGCUCAGCUAAAUCAUGAUUACUAUUACUACAUGUUUGCAUCGAUUUAACAAAAAAAAAACAUUGCAUAGUGAGGCAAAGUACCUGUGUUGCAUAGCUAAAGCAAAUUUGUGAAAUUCAAGGAUCUUUUAUAAACCAUUGUUUAGAACUUUAGAUAAUGGUGAAACCGAACUCAUAUAAACUGCACUUCCAUAUCAGUGUGUUCUUAUCAGAAAAGAUAAAAGACAAGAAACAAGAUAUUUAACCAAAUACAAUAAUCACUACAGCAAGAAAUAAGCAAUGCAUAAACGAAUUACCUCUGGAGCCAUCCAAAAUGGUGAUCCCUUUAAUGAAAGAGCCCCAGCUGCCCCAUUUAACUGAUCCAUUUUUUAAAAAGUGAAAUAAGCUAAUAGUCACAUUUAUAGAGAAGGUUCAAAAUACUUGCAGAUACAGAUAUAUUUGUGAACUCAGGGAUGGCAUAUAUGAAUCUCUGCAUGAAUUUAUAUACAAAUAACAUGUAUGUAUGUACAUGUGCAUCCAUGCUAAAAUAUCAGCAAAUGAUCAAAGUACAAAUGUAGCAUCAAGGGAUUUGUUCAAAACAAGGCUUACAGCCCAAUAAGCCCUACAAACCAAGCUUACCACCCAGUAAGUUCAGUUUAAGAUUUGUAUUAGCAUUUUCUUCUACCCCUAACCAUCUCCCACCGCACUACACCCUUCUCUUUCCCCAUGUCACACUGGCCUCCCUACUCCUCACACUGGCCUCCCUAAUCCUCCUCUCUUCUGGUACCAUGGUGCAUACCAUGCCAGUGUGUGCCGAACCCAUACCAGUCCAGUCAGCAAUCAGUGACUAGCACGGAUCCAAUUUCCAAAAUUGCAAUCUUUGCAAUCAUGCAUCAUCAAGAAUUAUGAGAACAGCCACCUGUUCUAUCAUCGCAAUUGUGAUAAACAACUCAAUGACAAACCAUAGUUAAAUAGUAUAUAGUAAACCAUAGUUAAAUAGUAUACAAUGAAAAAUCAAGAAUAUGAUCAGUAAUUGGAUUUUAAUUCAUAAUCUAUGGAGCAAGACACAUCCAAGAAGAUGGCCACAGUAGAGAAGCAACAAAGAUAAGGAAAAUAUUAUAUCAUGACAUGUAGGUAAAUUUGGAGCUAGUUUCAAUCAAAAGGCCACACUUACAUGUUUUGCCAUACCAAAGUCAGCAAGCUUGACAACGCCAUGCACGUCAACAAGCAAAUUUGCUCCCUUUAUAUCCCUGGAUGAACCAUUAUUUAAGAUGCCAACAUAAAUUCUUAUAUUAAAUUAUGAGUCAUCACUUGCUGGAAAACACCAAUGUAUGCUAAGAAAGGUAACUACAGCUUGAGUUUAUAGCAGUUAUAGGACUAUACAGACACAAGAUGAUAACCAAUAAAUAUAGACAUUAAAUAUUUAAUAAUUCAUUUAUAAAUAAUUAAGGAAAAAAUCAACAAUAAUUAUUUCAAUAAGAUUAAUUCGUCAAUUUUGAAUUCCUACUGAUACCAGGAUAUUAUAAAUGGAAAGUAGAACCUCCAAGAAUAAACUUGCAAAUCUAGGACUCAGCAUCCAAACAAAAAACCCAGGCAGGGGCAUGCUUAAGCAUCCCAGUUGUCACAAUGAAACAUGGCACUACUUGGUGUCACAUGCAUUAGUGCAUUUGUAUGUCAUGAGAACAUAAAAAUUUCAGCAUUUGCAUUAAGAAUAAAAUGCAAUCACCAAGGAGAAGUCAAACUAAGAAUAAAGAAUCUUAACAGUUUGUAUGACCUUAAAAUUCAGUCAAAACCCAAAAGUUUCUAACUACCAUCACACUUGAAAGGUACAUGUACUGAUUUACAAAUCAUGCAGCUGCAAGUUCUAUCUAGUUCUAGUAUGCUGUACUACUCAAAGUUUCUAGACCAAUUUAAAACCAAAUCCUGUACUACUUUAGGCAUCUUGAAGGCAAUGCCAUUCAUAAAUAAGCUUCUCCAAUCUUGCAUCCAUGUAUUCACCAACUAGAUAUAAAAUCUUACAAUUAAAAGAAGAGGAAUAUACAAAUCAAAAAAAUCAUUCUAAGCAAGAAAAGCAACCUUAUUGAGGCACUUCAACAGAAAGUACAACUAAGGCCACACAAUAACAAUAACUAAAUCUAAAAAGUGCCUAAGUUUCAAAUGUUCAUUUAAACAUAACAAGACUCACCAAAAUGAGGGAGAAAAUUCUUCAAAAAACACAUUAAAAAACACAUAAAAAAUAGGUACCUAAAUACUGCAAAAGGAUGCACAACAUCUAAUACAAAUUUAUAAGUUGAACAAAGAAUAAUCAACUCCAACUAGUUUCUAUGAACAAAUUAACAAGAAACUAGUUAGAAUUUUAGCUGAAUCAAAAAGGAGAAAAGGAGGGAAAAAAAAAGUAAUCACUUGUAUCUGAGGCUUAAUUCACAAGCAACAACUUCAUCAAACAAGACCCGCCUUUGUUCAGCUGAAAUAUUUUACCAAUUCAGAUCUAAGUGAUAAUUAUCACAAAAAUAGUUCACCAUUAUCCUAGUAACACUUGUCUUUUGGAUGUAGCAACAGAACACAUUCUUGAACAAAAAAAGUUCAAGUCAUCUUACACAGUAACCUUGUAGUCUGAGAAAGAAAAAAAAUGAAACUUUUAGGAGUAAAGGGAUAAGUAGAGAUCUAAUUACAUGCAAACCCACAGAAGUUCAACAAUUUGACUACAUAUUUGCAGCAAAAGAAACACAAACCUGUGCAUUAUUUUUUUUCCAUGCAAGUAGGCCAGCCCUUUAAGAAUAUGACGAGUGAAAUUGCGGACAACUGAUUCUGUCAUAGCUCCACAAUGCUGGCGUACAUAUUUAUUAAUUGAACCAGGAUGAACAUAUUCGAGAUAUAUGUAGAGCCGAUCAUCAAUCUGCAUGUUAAAAUAAUAAAUAAGAAAAAAUCCAGAAAGUUGUAAAAAAAUGUGACACAAAAAUUCCCAGUAUAGACAUAAGAAAAGCUCACUGUUUCACUCCCAUAAUAUUGCACGAUAUUUGGAUGCUUAAAUUGGCUAAGAAACUUUAUUUCCUGCAAAAUUAGGGGACAAUGGAUAAUAAUUCGGCAUAUAACCAACUUUGGACAUAUGAAAUUACUUAAACAAAAAAAAAAUCCACAGAUGAUAGCAGCAAUACUCUAUAAGCAUCACAAAAUAGCACCAUGUCACUUAGAAUCUGCUCAAUAGUUUAGUAGUAAAAGUUUUGUGCGUUAGUCAUAUCAGAUAUAUCUGACAAAGUAAUCAAUUCUAGAUCAGCAAGGAAAGGCUUAUGCAUGCUUAUAUUAAUUGAUAAGAAUGAUAUAUGUUGAAAUGAACAAUUAACCUGUUCCAACUGCUUUAUGCAUUCAGCUGACUUGGCAUCAUCAGGAAUAAUAUUAACUUCUUUCAUUGCACAUAAAGCUCCAGUUUGUCUAUAAAAAAUUAAACCAUAUUAGAGCAAUAGAAAGAAGCUUAACACCCAUCGACAAAACAGGAUAACAUAUUGACCUAUUGGUGGCUUCAUAAACAUUCCCAAAUGUGCCACUUCCAAUAAGCUUUCCCUUCUGCCACUGAUUUGUCAUUGGCAUUGCAUCAGCUUUUGCUGCAUUCUGAUGAGAAAAACCUGAUUGCGAAGGAGAUGAAGCUCCUGGAGGCAAAGGAAGUGGAUGAACACUAAUGUUUCCACUGUUCUCAUGCCAUGUACCAGAGUUCUCUGGAAACAGCUUUGUGUGCAAUGGGGACGAUGGUCCACUUGGAUUUCUGGAUCUUAAGACAGGACUUUUAGUAUUUGGACUGUAGAGUGGUGAUAGAUCAGGACUGCCAACCAUUUUUUCAGGUGAGGUCUGUGGAGAAAAAACUGACACCAUUUCUGUGGAUGGGAUCUCUGGAGCUGACCAGACUUGAAGCCCUGGAGUUGCAAUAGUAAAAGUGGAAAAGUCUACAUUACUCAAUCUCCGAGGGCUACAUAAAGGACUACGUAC
rnacentral:lncRNA from 1 species